CAACAUUUUAUCACUUUUCCCAGAACAAUUGUCGGAAUGACCAAUAGACUGGGCACACUGCUCCACGCAAACUUUCUUGUUUAAGUUUGCUAUUCGCUUUGAUAGCCGCCUUUUGUUUGUCGCUUCGAUGAAAUCAGAUUCUGUUGUUGAGCUGGAUGCUGAUGCUUUAUCGUCGUCAUCGUCGUCGUUGGUAUUGUCUGCUUGAGCAAGCGCGCCUCUGCUCGUUGUCGGGAGUCCAUCACUCGGAUCAGAGGAAGAUAGUGCUUUACGAUUGCUUUCUACCGGGGGGAAAACUGCGUCAGAGAAUGGUUUUUCGCUUGUUGAUGUACUGGUCUAGAACAUCGUCUACAAGUUUUCGGCUGAUUCGGAUGAGUCACCAAGCAUACGUCUGUCCCGAAUGUGAUGAAGGACGGUAUAGGCUGUUUGAGCCUCAUUUGCAGCACUCGUACACCAUUUGGAACGCCGGGGAAGUAGUGCUUCCAACGUUCACUUUGGAUUGAAAUCACAUCACCAAACUGUCUCAUAAAUUCGCCGAUAGACGCGUGUGGUGUGGAAGGAGGGAGAUCGUGCACCCGGACGGUUACUGCCUCACUAUCCACAUACACGGGAAUCUUGAAACGCUUCUCAUUACAAAUGAAAACUCGCUAAUUUUUUUUCUACAUAAAAAUCAACACGAAAAUUUUGUUUGACCUUUUUCAAAGUGUCAUAAAAUGGUGUGAUUGAAUUGAAAAAGUGAGUUCUAAUGCGUAUUCAUACGGUAAAUUUAGUCUAUUUUGUGGUUCAAUAACGAUUGCCAUCAAAAUUCAGCUCGAAAACUAGGUGGAUUUCAGUUGUUAUUCUUCAUUAUUAGCCGGAUUUUCAAGGGUGCCCACAACCGAACCACAAAACUAAAAUUUCAAAAAAUUCCAAAUUUGCGAAAUUGAUAACAAAAUGUUUCAAAUCAAAGAAAUCAAACCAGUAAUGUAAGUACGUCUAGCUUUUCAUUGUAUACAAAUGUAGACAUAAUACCAACUAGAACCAAUGUUAUGGAAAAAAUCAAAAGGGUGCGCACAACCGAACCUCCUCCCCUACAGUUUCAAGUCAAAGGCAUACGAUUGUUUACGACAUUUCAGACAAGUAACAUUUACUUUUUAAAGGUCGUACAUAUACAGCAGAAACGAUCCAAGAUGACUACCCUGUGAAACGUCGGAUCGGAUUCUAAACGGUAAGGAAAUCUGAUCUCCGAAUUGCAUGGACAUGGACACGAAUAGGACAUGGAGCCAACUGAGCCGACCGUUAUUUAUGCUUAAUUUGUCAAAAUUCGCUAUGGCAAUCUGGUUUUUCAUUUUGUCAAAUGCAGUAGAAAGCGUUGUAUAGAUUGCAUCCACCUGACGGCCACUCUCUAUUUGUCUUAGAUCCUUAUUACGGAUUCCACAUUCACUUUCACCUUUACUCCACCAAACGCUCACUUUCACAUUUGUUGACCUAGUACCGUUCAUUACAACACGUUGAAGCACGGUUAGUGGUCGUUCAACGUUUAGCAUGUCAUAGCAUAGUAUAUUGGACUGCUCGUAGUUUAUGCAGUCCUUUAAAAAAACAGAAAAUACAAAUGACUGUAUCCAGCGAUUCGGAAACAAGUAAUUAAUAAUAAACAGUAAUUAAUAAGAGCAUGCGUCCCCGCGCAUCGUUUUUAAACAAGCAAUGGGACAUCGUCCAGGCCGCAUCCCGUGGAUAAUUUAACUCCUUGCUUGCUGCUAUUAUAAAACGUUUAUGAUGACGAACUGCUACCAUGGAACAUUCCUAAUGGUAAUAACUACAUCUUGCAGGUGGAGGUGUUGAAUUGCGAACGGAACAAGUGAGCAAUGUCGUUGGUGGUCUGGGAUUCGCAUAAUCCUUUAGCCAUCGUUGAUGGCAAUCCAGACUUCUGUUUUUUGUUAACAUUCCGCCAAAAACUGUUGGGAUUAUUCUUAAGAUUCUGUAAAAUCUUUUAUUGGUUUAGAAAAAUCUGAAAAACUUUUUGUAACAUUGACAGUCAGCUAUUAUACAUUACCCUGUUAACACAAUGAUCCCAAAAAUUGUGCGUAAAGCGACGGAAAAUGUAUGCCAACAAAAAUAAGAAAUAAAAACGUCGAAGAUUAUAUUAAAGGCGUUCGAAGAAAAUAUGUACAAUUAUUCAACACAAUGGAAAUACCUACUUAGACUUAUAAUUUAUUCCAUAUAUCUGUGAAAAUUAAACAAUAAUAAAAUACAGUUUGUAGGGUACUAAUAAAUCUAAAACUGAGAACUUAAACAUACACAUAUGUUUUUGGUACGUGCUUGCACACAUUUUGUUUGAUGUUAUGUUUUUUUUAUAAUAUUUACCAUUAUAUUCUUUUUAUAUAGAUUUAUGUUGGCGUAUUUCAUAUGCAUUUGCAAAAACCAGUUGUUAGGUGUGGAGAAAAAAAAAGAAA